AGAAUCCCGGUUUCUCGGUCCGGGGAGUGGGAGGAUGGAGGAAGCGAGGGAGGAAGGAGAGAAGGAAAAGGUGAACAGGCGAGCAGGGCGCUGUGCCAGGGAGCAGCAUCCAGGACCGUAAUUGUGGGCAAGGGCGGGGGACGUUCUGGGCGAGUGUGCCCGAGACCAGGCGCGUACACGUGUGUGUGUGUGUGUGUGUGUGUGUGUGUGUGUGUGUGCGCGCGUGUAUGUGUAAGAGAGAGGAGCGGAGCCUACCAUGCGCUUCCCUGGUGCGGAUCGCGGGAGAGCCCAAUCACAGGGCGAGCUGGACCUGGCUGUGAUCAUUUAUAAUCCUUGACUCCUCCGCUCAGCCACUUGUCAAGAUGACAGCCACAAAGACCUGACUGUCAGGCUCAGACUGAGUUUCUGCAGCUCUGUCACCUCUUCCACUAAAGGGAUUCCAGACACUGAAGAGCUGGCAGACAUGACAUUGACAGCUAUAGUUCAGACACUAGAGCAACCAACCCGUCUUUUGAAAAGCUCAGAGAGACUGAGUGCAAAGAGAAGCGAGAAUAAAGAAUAAGCUAACUGGAAGGAAGACCGAGCCUGUGGGACCCCAGGCUUAGCAUCCUGUUCUCGUGGAGUGCACAUUUCUGCUUUGAGUCUCUUCACACCAGUGAGAGGAUGCUGGACCUCAUCUCAAGAAUUUGCCCUGUCAUUUGGAAACUGGAAUUAAAUCAGGCUUGAUCCAGUUAUAAUAUCUGAGACCAUGCACUCCCUACAUCAUAUUUAAGGGGAAAAGAAAACCUUGUUUCUCUUAGAUUUAGAUAAACUACUACAAUAUAAGGAGUUAAGGAAGGCAAUAAGAAUAGAGGAGGCAUGAACACACAAGAACUUGGGAAGAGAGGAAUGUGAGCUGUGAAAAACCAAGCAGAAGUGUUUCCAUCUCAAUGGCACUAUGAGCUGGAGAAGUCAUAGGAAACCAAAGCACUCAAGAGGAGACACAGCUAUCAAGAACUCCUGUCCACCGGGCAUUGGUGGAAGGAGAUGAAGCCAUUUUUACCAACCUGAACCUUUUUUCCGUGGGGCACUAUACAGCUUAACCUAUGAACUCUGUCGAGCCGUUGAGGGCUCCUAAACAAUUUCUUAGCACGGAGUUCCUCUUUUCAGCAAACCCUGCUUCUCACUGAGUACAGAGUCGAAGCAAUCCUACAGCACUAACAUUUCAAUUGUUGCAUAUGGAGCCCAGUACAUAAAGGACUCCCCAAAGAGAGCGGUUUAUAACUGGAUUAUAGCUGCUCCACACAUUUAACUUUCCAUGAAUAGUUUCUGACGUUUUGAAGCACCCCAAGUCAUAACUUUUCUAUCCACGCAUGUAGGAAAGCAGUCACUGAUUGUGCGUUUCUUCAUUGACCAGAAUACAAACAUGGAUGAGACUGUUAGCACCCAUGGUAUCUGAGGGAGAACUUACAGAAUUUGUUUACCUAUGUUAUAUAUAAGACAAUAGAUUGUAUAUACAAAUAUAGAAAACAUUUCACUUGUUUGUAUGUGCACUAUAUGUAUUUUGAGUGCAGAUCAAGUAUGUAAUGGUCCCACUUAUUAUUAGUUUCAUUUUUUUACAAUUUCAUAACUGUGGCCUAAAAAUAGUAGGUGGAAAAUUUUAGAAGCAAUCCACACAUAUGUGUUAAAUUACACGACAUUUUGAGUACCGGGAUAAAUUCUCAUUCUGUAUUGCUUCUUCUUGCCCAAAAUAUAACUCAUUUCUCUGGUCAGUGCAUCUGCUCUGUAUAUCUUGCCUGCUACCUCCAUGAUCAGAACCAUUUAGGAACAGUGUAGGGUCUGUAUUCAAAUCAACCUGUUAUGCUUAGCAGUGUCUCAGUCAUGAUACUGAAAACUGAAUAUGUUAGAGAAAAAUUGGCUAGUGUCUUCUUCAAGUGAAAUGUAAAGGUCUCCACUUGAGGGGGGUUUUAUAGAGCUAUCAUGUUGUUAAAUCAUAUACUAGGCAUGUUUUAUAAAUUAACCUAUGUUAUAGAUAUGUAUGUACAAGAGAAAAGCAUGGUGCAUAUA
rnacentral:lncRNA from 1 species